rnacentral:rRNA from 1 species
UAGGGAAUCUUCCGCAAUGGACGAAAGUCUGACGGAGCAACGCCGCGUGAGUGAAGAAGGAUUUCGGUUCGUAAAACUCUGUUGUUAGGGAAGAAAAAAUGUAUAGUAACUAUAUACAAAAGAGACGGUACCUAACCAGAAAGCCACGGCUAACUACGUGCCUGCAGCCGCGGUAAUACGUAGGUGGCAAGCGUUGUCCGGAAUUAUUGGGCGUAAAGCGCGCGCAGGUGGUUUAGAAAGUCUGAUGUGAAAGCCCACGGCUCAACCGUGGAGGGUCAUUGGAAACUAAUAAACUUGAGUGCAGGAGAGAAAAGUGGAAUUCCUAGUGUAGCGGUGAAAUGCGUAGAGAUUAGGAGGAACACCGGUGGCGAAAGCGGCUUUUUGGCCUGCAACUGACACUGAGGCGCGAAAGCGUGGGGAGCAAACAGG